UGAAAGGCCAGGCAAGCCCAUGCACAUCAAAUAAAAAUAAAGGAAUUCUUGGCUGUAAAGGAGUAUUGUGUUAAGGCUACCUCUGAAACAGGGAGGGAUAUCCAUUUUCUUAUUGGCUUCUGGUUAAGCUGGUCAUAGAGAGAAGACCUGAUGAAUGAAUGGCCUUUGAAAUUCUCAAAUUUGCAUGUGAGGGCACAUUUGUAGAUGGAAUUGGCCAUUCCACCCAGCCCUUGGAUUGCAUCCACUGCAAUAGUUUUCUUGAUGAGUUUCCAGGGUGCACAGAUCACUACCAUGUGGUCUCGGUGGAGAGGCCUCUUAACUAGUCAGUGGCAUGUGGGAAACUGCAUUCCCUUCUGAAAACCUUGAGCAACUUUGGUUAAAAGCCUCACUGUUUUUCUUUAAUAGCAGGCUUUUUUUCCCUCCACUUAAUGGCUCUUUUCUUUUCUCUGCCAAAUUCACUGCAUUGUUGAGGAAUCAGAAAGGAUCCCAUGAAAGGGAAGUGAUGAUAUUGAAGUGGUCCGCAGGGCCUUGUGCAGGUUCAGUCCACAACGCCACCUUCACUCAAAAUAGCACAGUUACCAUUUGCACCUAGCAUGGCUCUGAGACCAUCAUUAAGAUGCCUAUUUCUGUGGAGACCCACAUUUUCAUUCAAGUUCAGAAGAGAGAAGGAGAGUAACAUGCUUCUCAGAAGCCUCUGGCAAAUGUUCUCUUACAUUAUUAUGGUUUCACUGAUAUAAAAUAUGUCCUAUGACUUUCCUACCUGUAAAGAAGUUCACGAAAGGUAUUUAUUCUACUAUUUCUCUUGAUUAAUAGCUUGGCUGGGUAUGGAAUUUUGAAAACCCUUUUCAUAAAGAACUUGAUGAUGUAGCUCUGUUUGUUUUUUAGUUUCUAGAGUUGCCUUGAGACUGUGAUAUUUUUCUUAUGCCCGAUCCUAAUAAAUGAUCUUUUUGUUCUCUCUCAAAAUUUUGGAAUCUUUUCUUUAUUCCUAUAUUCUGAAAUUUCAUGAUGAUGGUCUCUGUGUAAAUCAUUUUAUUGUUGUUGUUCAUUAUCGUGGAGACUCAGUGGGCCUUUUCAGCUGUCCUUCUUCUUCCCUCUGAAAAUUCACUUACUAGGUAUUUGACUUCUGCAUCACGUUUCUUUAACUUUGAGCCUUUUUGAUGAAAUAUUUUUCUGUUAUAAUAUUUUUUAUUUUCCAAGAGCUUAAUUACUUGCUGUGUUCCUUUUUAAAAAAUAAAAAACUGUUGUUCCUUAAUUUAAUUUCCAGCAUCUCUCUGAGGAUAUAUACGCAUAACUAUAUAUGUAUGUGUAUUUGAAUAGUAUAUCAUUGACAUGGUUUUACAUGGUUUCUGUAUAUAUGUCCAUGUAAUGUAUGUCUGAUAAAUAGUACAUAAGUCAAAUUAUUGUGAAUGUUAAAAAUGGCUUAAAAUAUUAUCAAGCAUUUCUGAUUUAGGCAAAGUGAAACCUUCCAGAGCUAACUUAAUUGUUUAGCUUAAUACAAGAAAAUAUUUUCUUUUCUAUCUGUGAAAGAAGGUUUGUUAUUUUAGUAAGUUUCGGUUCAAAAAGAGCAAUUAUAAAAAUGCCAAAGCCAUGACCCAUCACAAUCUCUCCUUUGAUGAGACUGCGGUUGAUGCUCUAUACCAGUGAUCCAUGGGUUCCCUGCUUGAUUACACAGGUAUGUUUAAACCCUGCAGUGAAUCAGUGUGUAUUGUUUCUGACAGGCUUUAAUCUGGAGAUAUUUAAUGAUACAGUACAGCCUCAUAGCUCUCUGUAACUCUCUUAAGGGGCCCACAUCAAAGGGAACAUUGUGGUUAUGGUAAUUUUAAAAUGUCUCUUGGUUUGUAUCUAACAGAUAAUAGAACAUACCCUGUUCCAUUCUAUGAUUUUUUUCCUUUUAAAUUUCUCUUAUUUUUAUCUUCUAGCACAUCUGAAUGCUCUGCUUACUUGAAGAACUACUCUUGUAUCCACAAUAUACUUGAUAUUUCACAUCUGGCUGCUUUCCAAAUGGCAGACUGGUUUUAAAACUCUCAGCAAAAUUCAGUUAAAUGUACCACUGUGUGUUGAUAUAAUAAUAAAGAUCUCUAUUAGUGGUCAUUGUUUAUUGCCUUUAUUAAUACUCUGGAUUUUUUUUUAAAUUUUCCUCUUCCAACAUGUAAAUCUCCAUUCUCAGAUAAUUUCUUACCACUGCUAAAG
rnacentral:lncRNA from 1 species